rnacentral:rRNA from 1 species
AACGAACGCUGGCGGCAUGCCUAACACAUGCAAGUCGAACGAAGCCUUCGGGCUUAGUGGCGCACGGGUGCGUAACGCGUGGGAAUCUGCCCUUGGGUUCGGAAUAACAGUUAGAAAUGACUGCUAAUACCGGAUGAUGUCUUCGGACCAAGGAUUUAUCGCCCAAGGAUGAGCCCGCGUAGGAUUAGGUAGUUGGUGGGGUAAUGGCCCACCAAGCCGACGAUCCUUAGCUGGUCUGAGAGGAUGAUCAGCCACACUGGGACUGAGACACGGCCCAGACUCCUACGGGAGUCAGCAGUGGGGAAUAUUGGACAAUGGGCGAAAGCCUGAUCCAGCAAUGCCGCGUGAGUGAUGAAGGCCUUAGGGUUGUAAAGCUCUUUUACCAGGGAUGAUAAUGACAGUACCUGGAGAAUAAGCUCCGGCUAACUCCGUGCCAGUAGCCGCCGUAA